rfam:Ornithorhynchus anatinus chromosome 5, whole genome shotgun sequence.
AGCAGAGUGGUUUAGUGGAAAGAGCAUGGGCUUGGGAGUCAGAGGUCGUGGGUUCUAAUCCCAACUCUGCCA